AAAGUGGAUUGGUUUGUGUGAAGAUGCAGUGGAGGUGCAAAUACUGUAUGCAUGGAGUUCAACAGGAUUGUUGGCAAGAAUCUCAAGCAGGAAUUCUAUGAGAGCAUCGAUCGACAUAG